rnacentral:rRNA from 1 species
CCUACGGGUGGCAGCAGUGGGGAAUAUUGGACAAUGGGCGCAAGCCUGAUCCAGCCAUGCCGCGUGAGUGACGAAGGUCUUCGGAUUGUAAAGCUCUUUUGCCAGGGACGAUAAUGACGGUACCUGGAGAAUAAGCCCCGGCUAACUUCGUGCCAGCAGCCGCGGUAAUACGAAGGGGGCUAGCGUUGUUCGGAAUUACUGGGCGUAAAGCGCACGUAGGCGGAUUUGUUAGUCAGGGGUGAAAUCCCGGGGCUCAACCUCGGAACUGCCUUUGAUACUGCAAGUCUCGAGUCCGGAAGAGGUGAGUGGAAUUCCUAGUGUAGAGGUGAAAUUCGUAGAUAUUAGGAAGAACACCAGUGGCGAAGGCGGCUCACUGGUCCGGUACUGACGCUGAGGUGCGAAAGCGUGGGGAGCAAACAGGAUUAGAUACCCUAGUAGUC